CAGCGUGGAAUAAACCUAUUACUUAUUUCACAAACAUAUUUACUGUUAAAUCACUGUGUUAAUUAAAUCAUCUAACAAUAUGUAUGCCCUAAUAUAAUUCAAUAUGUUUAAUCAGGGUAUCUUAAUCUUUUAAGACUUUAAUGAAUGUCUAAUUAUGUUUAAGUUCGACAAAAUAAGAGAAUAUAAACCAACUGAGGGAGUGCUCACACCUUUUUUUCUCACUGUACUUACUGGCACAAUAUUACAUGUAUUAUGUACAAAGUGGAUUACUAUUGCAUUCUACAUGCUCACAGGCUAAGAAUUGUGUCCUGACAAGAAGCAAACACUCUAUCUCUCUGAGCCCUGACAGAAGAGGCAACAUGAUCUGAAACCCAGUCUCGCUUUGCUGUGCAGUCAUUAAUAAAGCUACAGGAAGAGGAAGAGGAGGCCAGCACUGAAAAUCAAAUGAGCACCACCAGGAAAGGAAAUCAUGCCUCACAUAUCAGACAGGAAAGAAGAAAACAGAACUUCACCAGAACCACAAUCCUGUCAUCACAAUGCUUAUUUUGGGGCUCGAUACAUUAUGAUCUUCAAACGUUUGCCACUGUCAAAGGCCAGGAAAUUGUCAUUGUGUCAAGAGAUUAGAAAAUUCUUAAAUCCAACAGUGAUGCAAACCAUCACUGAUACAUAACCCUAAUACCAUAAGUCUUCUAGUGCAUUUCUCUGAAGAAAGAUUAUGCUCCACACCAAUGUACCUAACACACAAGAGGUGGAAAUAUCUUAUCAAACUAGUCUCAAACUUCUGAUUAAAAUGAGGCUGCACAUUAUUUCAUUUGUC
rnacentral:lncRNA from 1 species